rnacentral:misc_RNA from 1 species
GACAGAGGAUCUCCUUGCCUAAGACCUCGACAUGAAAUAAAUUCCUCGGUCAUAUCCCUAUUCCAUAAAACCCGCAUCCAAACUCUAGACACACAUCUCAUAAUUAACUGAAUACAACUACUCGGCAACCCAGCUUAAUGUAAAGUAUCUUAAAGAAAAGACCAACUAAUACAGUCAUAUGCCUUCUUUAAAUCAAUUUUAACAAUCGUGUAGCCUUUUCGACCUUUCUUAGCUCUCAUAGAAUGCACCGCCUCUAUAGUUAUAACAAUAUUAUCAACUAU